AUGCAAGCAUGUUCCUUAUUACUUGGUAGACCAUGGCAAUUUGAUAAAAAUUCUGUACACCAUGGUAGAAACAAUCACUAUACUCUUGUUCAUAAGGAUAAAAAUAUUACUUUGCUUCCUAUGACUCCUGAUUCCAUUUUGAAAGAUGAUAUUAAUAGAGCUAAUAAAGCACAACAGGAGAAGAAUAAGAGUGAAAAUCAGAUUGUGGCAAAAGAAUUUGAGCAACAAAUGAAACCUAAUAAUAAACCAUCUAGUGUUGCUUCUGAAAUUAAAUUGAAAAGUGCAUGUUUAUUUGCCACCAAAUCUGAUAUUGAUGAGCUAGAUUUCAGCAAAUCUGUUUGCUAUGCUUUUGUGUGCAAAGAGGCAUUAUUUUCAUUCGAGGACGUGCCUUCCUCUUUGCCUCUUGCUGUCACUAACAUUUUGCAGGAGUUCGCUGACGUUUUUCCACAAGACGUGCCACCGGGAUUACCGCCUAUUCGAGGGAUUGAGCAUCAGAUUGACUUAAUUCCCGGUGCUUCACUGCCAAACCGUGCACCAUACCGUACCAAUCCAGAGGAGACGAAGGAGAUUAUGCGUCAAGUACAAGAGCUUAUCGACAAAGGUUAUAUACGCGAAUCCCUUAGUCCUUGUGCUGUUCCUAUUAUUCUAGUGCCGAAAAAGGAUGGUACAUCACGUAUGUGUGUUGAUUGUAGAGGCAUUAAUAAUAUUACUAUUCGUUAUCGUCAUCCUAUUCCUAGGCUAGAUGAUAUGCUUGAUGAAUUGAGUGGCUCUACAAUAUUCUCCAAAGUUGAUUUGCGUAGUGGAUACCAUCAAAUUCGUAUGAAAUUGGGAGAUGAAUGGAAAACAGCAUUCAAAACUAAGUUUGGAUUAUAUGAGUGGUUAGUCAUGCCUUUUGGGUUAACUAAUGCACCUAGUACUUUCAUGAGAUUAAUGAACGAAGUUUUACGUGCUUUCAUUGGACGAUUUGUGGUAGUUUACUUUGAUGACAUAUUGAUUUAUAGCAGAUCUUUGGAAGAACAUUUGGAACAUUUACGUGCUGUUUUUAUUGCUCUACGUGAUGCACGUUUGUUUGGUAACCUUGGGAAGUGCACCUUUUGCACCGACCGAGUAUCUUUUCUUGGCUAUGUUGUUACUCCACAGGGAAUUGAAGUUGAUAAAGCCAAGAUUGAAGCUAUUGAGAGUUGGCCGCAGCCCAAAACGGUCACACACGUGAGGAGUUUUCUUGGCCUCGCUGGAUUCUAUAGGCGUUUUGUGAGAGAUUUCAGCACCAUUGCUGCACCUCUCAAUGAGCUUACAAAGAAAGAUGUGCCUUUUCUUUGGGGUACUGCACAGGAAGAAGCCUUCACGGUAUUGAAAGAUAAGUUGACACAUGAUCCUUUACUCCAACUUCCUGAUUUUAAUAAGACUUUUGAGCUUGAAUGUGAUGCUAGUGGAAUUGGAUUAGGAGGUGUGUUAUUACAAGAUGGCAAACCUGUUGCAUACUUUUCUGAAAAAUUGAGUGGGCCUAGUCUGAAUUAUUCUACUUAUGAUAAAGAAUUAUAUGCUCUUGUUCGGACUUUAGAAACAUGGCAACAUUAUUUAUGGCCCAAAGAAUUUGUUAUACAUUCUGAUCAUGAAUCUUUGAAACAUAUUAAAAGUCAAGCUAAACUGAAUCGUAAACAUGCUAAAUGGGUUGAAUUCAUUGAGACUUUCCCUUAUGUCAUUAAACACAAGAAGGGAAAAGAAAAUGUUAUUGCUGAUGCAUUGUCUCGUCGCUAUACUAUGCUUUCACAACUUGACUUCAAAAUAUUUGGUUUGGAGACCAUCAAAGAUCAAUAUGUGCAUGAUGCUGAUUUUAAAGAUGUAAUGCAGAAUUGUAAAGAAGGAAGAAUGUGGAACAAGUUUGUCGUUAACGAUGGAUUUGUGUUUCGUGCUAACAAGCUAUGCAUUCCAGCUAGCUCCGUUCGUCUUUUGUUGUUGCAGGAGGCGCAUGGAGGAGGAUUAAUGGGACACUUUGGCAUGAAGAAGACGGAGGACGUACUUGCUACACAUUUCUUUUGGCCAAAGAUGAGACGGGAUGUUGAGCGUUUUAUUGCUUGA
rnacentral:rRNA from 1 species